CACGAAGAGGCCUCCCGGUCUUUUUUAACCUUGCCUACCGCACCCUUUUGUUGUUCCCCUCGGCGGGCCGAAACCCGCCGGCGGGACGCUCAACAACCUUUUUUUGCACCGAGCAUCUCAAAACUCUGAUCGAAACCUAAAUCGUUA
rnacentral:misc_RNA from 1 species